GCCGGAAACGUCUGGCAAUUCCGUUGGCGGCCUGGAUAAGUGCCAUAUCGUUUACUUUCGACCUCUUAUUACUUAUGUCCAUUUUUAAUUCUUGCAGAAUAAAUCGUUCAUGGAAUAAAUAAGUGAUUAAACAGACUAAUCGUUGCAAAUUCUCAGAGAUAACAUGUAUAUCCUAAAUAUAUAAUAAAUACACACGCGAUGUAUAUACAUCAUAAAUAACAUUAAAUAAUAUAAGCGCACGAGAUGCUGCCAGAGUUUGAACUA